GGAUCAAUGCCCGAGCAAGUAAUGGGGACAAACUGUAAAUUCAUUGGCAAUAUGUCUACGUUGGUUCAAAUCCAACUCGCCCCC
rnacentral:tRNA from 1 species